rnacentral:miRNA from 1 species
GACGUCGAAUAUCGACGUCAUAAACACCAAAGUUGAUCGUGUUUAUUACGUCGAAUAUCGACGUCAUAAACACCAAAGUUGGUCGCGUUUAUGACGCCAAAUAUCGACGUCAUAAACACCAAAGUUGAUCGUGUUUAUUACGUCGAAUAUCGACGUC